UCCCUCUCGGAAUCGCACCUGGGGAGUUUCUAGUACUCUUCUAGUCUCAGAUAUGGGAGGGAGAGCCAAGAAGAGGCCAUCCCAUUCCAUUCCUGGCUUGGGCAGUGGCUAGUGACUGGAAGACAAUCUCCUACAAGU